rnacentral:rRNA from 1 species
UACAGAGACUGCAAGCGUUAUUCGGAUUCACUGGGCGUAAAGGGUGCGCAGGCGGCCGUGUGUGUGAGGCGUGAAAGCCCGAUGCUUAACAUCGGAAUUGCACCUCAAACUACACGGCUAGAGCAUUGGAGAGGGUAGCGGAAUUCACGGUGUAGCAGUGAAAUGCGUAGAUAUCGUGAGGAACACCAGUGGCGUAAGCGAUCACCUGGGCUAGACCUGACGCUGAGGGACGAAGGCGUGGGGAGCAAACGGG